GAGCACGUAGGUGGGUUUGUAAGUCAGAUGUGAAAGCCUUCUGUUCAACGGAAGAAUUGCAUCUGAAACUGCGAGUCUUGAGUGUAGGAGGGGAGAAUGGAACUUCUGGUGGAGCGGUGAAAUGCGUAGAUAUCAGAAGGAACGCCGGCGGCGAAAGCGAUUCUCUGGCCUAUUACUGACACUCAGUGUGCGAAAGCUAGGGGAGCAAACGGGAUUAGAUACCCCGGUAGUCCUAGCCGUAAACGAUGGGCACUAAGUAGAGGGAAUUACCGAUAUUCUCUCUGCCGUAGCUAACGCAUUAAGUGCCCCGCCUGGGGAGUACGGCCGCAAGGCUAAAACUCAAAAGAAUUGACGGGGGCUCGCACAAGCGGUGGAGCAUGUGGCUUAAUUCGAUGCAACGCGAAAAACCUUACCGGGGCUUGACAUAGUAGAAGUAGGAACCCGAAAGGGUAACGAACGGUAUCCAGUCCGUAACUAUUACAGGUGUUGCAUGGCUGUCGUCAGCUCGUGUCGUGAGACGUUGGGUUAAGUCCCCUAACGAGCGAAACCCUUGUUUUUAGUUGCCAGCGGGUUAUGCCGGGCACUCUAGAAAGACUGCCGUCGUCAAGACGGAGGAAGGUGGGGACGACGUCAAGUCAUCAUGGCCCUUAUGCCCCGGGCUGCACACGUGCUACAAUGGCCGGUACAAACGGAAGCGAAGCCGAGAGGUGAAGCGAAUCC
rnacentral:rRNA from 1 species